GACGAACGCUGGCGGCGUGCUUAACACAUGCAAGUCGAACGGAAAGGCCCUGCUUUUGUGGGGUGCUCGAGUGGCGAACGGGUGAGUAACACGUGAGUAACCUGCCCUUGACUUUGGGAUAACUUCAGGAAACUGGGGCUAAUACCGGAUAGGAGCUCCUGCUGCAUGGUGGGGGUUGGAAAGUUUCGGCGGUUGGGGAUGGACUCGCGGCUUAUCAGCUUGUUGGUGGGGUAGUGGCUUACCAAGGCUUUGACGGGUAGCCGGCCUGAGAGGGUGACCGGCCCCAUGGGGACGGGGAUACGGCCCAGCCUCCUCGGGGGGGGAGGAGGGGGGAAUAUUGCACAAGGGGGGGAGGCCUGGUCCAGCAACCCGGCGGGCGGGAUGACGGCCUUCGGGUGGAAACCCGCUUUCGCCUGGGACGAAGCGUGAGUGGCGGUAAUGGGUAAAGAAGCCCCGGCUAACUCCGU
rnacentral:rRNA from 1 species